rnacentral:rRNA from 1 species
GACGAACGCUGGCGGCGUGCUUAACACAUGCAAGUCGAACGGAAAGGCCCUGCUUGCAGGGUACUCGAGUGGCGAACGGGUGAGUAACACGUGGGUGAUCUGCCCUGCACUUCGGGAUAAGCCUGUGAAACUGGGUCUAAUACCGGAUAGGAGCCAUUUUUAGUGUGAUGGUUGGAAAGUUUUUUCGGUGUAGGAUGAGCUCGCGGCCUAUCGGCUUGUUGGUGGGGUAAUGGCCUACCAAGGCGGCGACGGGUAGCCGGCCUGAGAGGGUGGACGGCCACAUUGGGACUGAGAGACGGCCCAGACUCCUACGGGAGGCAGCAGUGGGGAAUAUUGCACAAUGGGCGCAAGCCUGAUGCAGCGACGCCGCGUGGGGGAUGACGGCCUUCGGGUUGUAAACUCCUUUCGCUAGGGACGAAGCUUUUUGUGACGGUACCUAGAGAAGAAGCACCGGCUAACUACGUG